AUGCACAAGGGGCGGACCAACUCCAUCCCGCUCCCCAUACUCGGCGUCCUCUUCGCCUACCUGCUCUACCGCUACCUCCGCCCGCGCCUCCGCGGCCUCCGCCUCGACCGCCUCCUGUUCCGUGUCCCGGACUGCCUCCGCCGCCGCGACAAUGCCACCCGGAGCACCCUGCUGCCCUACUUCGCGCCCAUCGCCGACCGCCUCGGCGCGCUGCGGCCGUACCUCGGCCCCAUCGCCGACCGCCUCGGGGUCAGCCCGUGUUAG
rnacentral:rRNA from 1 species